GCGCUUGUAGCUCAACGGUUAGAGCAGGGGACUCAUAAUCCCUUGGUUGUGGGUUCGAAUCCCGCCGGGCGCA
rnacentral:tRNA from 1 species